GAAUCUUGCGCAAUGGAGGAAACUCUGACGCAGCCACGCCGCGUGCCGGAUGAAGGUCCUAUGGAUUGUAAACGGCUUUUGAUCGGGAAGAACGACAGAGAUUCGUCUUUGUGUGACGGUACCGAUUGAAUAAGCACCGGCUAACUCCGUGCCAGCAGCCGCGGUAAUACGGAGGGUGCAAGCGUUGUCCGGAAUCAUUGGGUGUAAAGGGUGCGCAGGCGGGCAUCUGAGUCUGAGGUGAAAUCUUGCCGCUUAACGGUAAAAUUGCCUUAGAUACUGGGUGUCUUGAAUCCAGAAGAGGUCGGUGGAAUUCGUGGUGUAGCGGUGAAAUGCAUAGAUAUCACGAAGAACAUCAGUGGCGAAGGCGGCCGACUGGGCUGGUAUUGACGCUGAGGCACGAGAGCGUGGGGAGCGAAC
rnacentral:rRNA from 1 species